CUCUCUGGGUGGCGAGUGGCGGGACGGGUGAGGAAUACAUCGGAAUCUACCUUUUCGUGGGGGAUAACGUAGGGAAACYUACGCUAAUACCGCAUACGACCUACGGGUGAAAGUGGGGGACCGCAAGGCCUCACGCGAUUAGAUGAGCCGAUGUCCGAUUAGCUAGUUGGCGGGGUAAUGGCCCACCAAGGCGACGAUCGGUAGCUGGUCUGAGAGGAUGAUCAGCCACACUGGAACUGAGACACGGUCCAGACUCCUACGGGAGGCAGCAGUGGGGAAUAUUGGACAAUGGGCGCAAGCCUGAUCCAGCCAUACCGCGUGGGUGAAGAAGGCCUUCGGGUUGUAAAGCCCUUUUGUUGGGAAAGAAAKCCUGUCGAUUAAUACUCGGUGGGGAUGACGGUACCCA
rnacentral:rRNA from 1 species